GAACAGUUAACAUGCCAGUUACUGUUUCCUUUUUCAGAAUGAUGGUAUGCUGCAUUUUGAUCUGUGAGGAUAUCAACAAGGAUUAUAAAGCAUGAUAAAGCUUAUUAGCACUUAGAUUAAUGACCAAAGCAAUAAACAAAACGCACAGAGCAGAUCCAUUCUGACAGCUUUUUGUAGGCUGGGAAGUGCUACUUAUUCCAUGGUCUCCUAGAGCAGGAAAGCCCCAGGGCCAGCUACACUUUCAGCCAAAGUCUACUUGUGGAGACCUACAACUGCAUGCUGACCCGUGAAGAAGUUCUCUCUGUUGGAAGGCUGAUGUUUUAAUUUGAUGCCCCAUAAAUCUUCUGUUCUGAGAAGCAGGAAUUAACUUCCUAAUGACUUUUAGAAUAACUUUGUUGUUGUUGUUGUUCUUUCUUUCCCUGUCUGUACAUCACCUUUGAGCAGUAUUAAUCUAAUUAAUUUCCCUGUGAGGAGGACAUCAUCACCCCUGUGAAACUCCUUGCUUAUCACCUCUCUCUGUGUACUAUCUCUACAGUAACAUCUGUGAAA
rnacentral:lncRNA from 1 species